rnacentral:rRNA from 1 species
GUGCCAGCAGCCGCGGUAAUACAGAGGGUGCGAGCGUUAAUCGGAAUUACUGGGCGUAAAGCGCACGUAGGUGGCGACGUAAGUCGGGUGUGAAAGCCCCGGGCUCAACCUGGGAAUUGCAUUCGAGACUGCAUUGCUGGAGUACGGAAGAGGAGGGCGGAAUUCCCGGUGUAGCGGUGAAAUGCGUAGAUAUCGGGAGGAACAUCAGUGGCGAAGGCGGCCCUCUGGUCCAGUACUGACACUCAAGUGCGAAAGCGUGGGGAGCAAACAGGAGGAUAAACCACUGGAUUAC